CGAACGCUGGCGGCGUGCUUAACACAUGCAAGUCGAACGGAAAGGCCCUGCUUUUGUGGGGUGCUCGAGUGGCGAACGGGUGAGUAACACGUGAGUAACCUGCCCUUGACUUUGGGAUAACUUCAGGAAACUGGGGCUAAUACCGGAUAGGAGCUCCUGCUGCAUGGUGGGGGUUGGAAAGUUUCGGCGGUUGGGGAUGGACUCGCGGCUUAUCAGCUUGUUGGUGGGGUAGUGGCUUACCAAGGCUUUGACGGGUAGCCGGCCUGAGAGGGUGACCGGCCACAUUGGGACUGAGAUACGGCCCAGACUCCUACGGGAGGCAGCAGUGGGGAAUAUUGCACAAUGGGCGGAAGCCUGAUGCAGCAACGCCGCGUGCGGGAUGAUGGCCUUCGGGUUGUAAACCGCUUUCGCCUGUGACGAAGCGUGAGUGACGGUAAUGGGUAAAGAAGCACCGGCUAACUACGUG
rnacentral:rRNA from 1 species